rnacentral:rRNA from 1 species
GUCUCUACGAAAAAUAAUAUACCGUCUAGCCUGCCCAGUGAAUAACUUAAAUGGCCGCGGUAUCCUGACCGUGCAAAGGUAGCAUAAUAAUUAGUUUUUUAAUUGAAAGCUUGCAUGAAUGGCUGGACAAAGAAAAAUCUGUUUCUACUUUUUUUUUAAAAUUUUACUUUUAGGUGAAAAGGCCUAAAUAAACUUAAUAGACGAUAAGACCCUAUAAAUCUUUAUAUGAUCUUUUCUUAUGAGUAAUUAUUUGAGUUUAUUUUUUAUAAAAAAAAGAUAUAUUUUGUUGGGGCGACAAGAAUACUAAAACUGUUCUAAUUUUCAAACAAAAAUUUUUGUCUAUAGUAGAUCCUUCACUGAAGAUUAAAAAUUUAAGUUACUUUAGGGAUAACAGCGUAAUUUUUUUUGAGAGUUCAUAUCGACAAAAAAGUUUGCGACCUCGAUGUUGAAUUAAAGUUUCUUUAUAAUGCAGCAGUUAUAAAAGUAAGUCUGUUCGACUUUUAAAACUUU